UUUGGGAAAUGAUGCCAAAACCAAAAAAUUGUGACUGAGGUGUAAGCUCUGCUGAAUAUUAUUUGCACAUCCGUCUAAUCCCAUA